AACACACAAUCUUAUCGUCUCUUCCUCAAAUAUUUGUCUGUGACUUUUCCUUUGCACUCUACGGCGUCGAAGAUAUUGUCUUCGCCGAUCGCCCUCCCCACUAUCAAGAUCAAUAACUGUACCAUUCAACACAAUACCCUCUUCAAUUUCUUCCCUUUCCCCAACCUAGCUAUAUAUACGGUGAUAUUCAAGACCAAAGUUCCUCACAACGUUAUCCUCAAAAGCACCAGCGUGUUUAAGCUCCAAGGCUAAAGCACGACUAAUGAUAUCAGAUGGGAUGUGCACCUUUUCAUUUCAUCUUCAGUUCUGGUUGCUUCUUAAUUAAGUUCCACGAUUUGAACCCACCUACUGUUUCUUAUGCAGAUCAACCAUUGGGAUGAAGUUGUUGUCACAAACGACCUUCAGAUGGAUGAGGGCGAGGAUGAUAAUGAGGAAGAUGACCAAGAAGUAGAUCACCGAAAUAGAGCAAAUAAAAAUGUCAUCAGCUGGGAUGUUGGGUUAGUGUACGCGGAACCAUGAAGAGAGAUUAAGAAUUCAAGGUUAACAUCAAUGAUUUAUAGUUGCGACUAAGAAGACUGGACUAUGCAUGACUUCUUGGCCCAAUCAUCCUGCCAUGAUCUAGGUAUUCCUUGGAAACAACAGUGUUUGUCCUAGGCUGGUUUAUCUUCUUGUGAGACCUGGAUUUGGCUUAUCAUAAGAAGGCUGGCGCCAUGAAUUUGUUGAUACGAGUCUCGGGGUUUCUAUCAAUUGUGCUUUAUCUUUUGAAUGUCGACUGUGAUCAAUACAUCUACGAUAGCAAAAAUCUAAGAGAAUAAAUGUGUUUCGUGGUGGCUUCUAAGUUGGGAAAGAAGAUUUGUUAUGAUCACUACCCUCAAAGAUUCGAUGGGAUCGGUAGACACGACAGAUACAGUAAUGGCAGCGUUGUAUUUUACGAUGUAAGUACACAAAACUUUGAUCACCAGAUUCACCACCUUCCUUAUCUUGAGUCAUAACCUAAGUCUUAGUAAUCUUAAUUGCUUCCUUAUCUUGAGUCAUAACCUAUGUUUUAGUAAUCUUAAUUGCACUCCCACUGCGGCACUGUUUUUUUUUGCUACCAUUAGCUUCAUUGAAAGCAAAAAGAACAAUAGCAUCGGUGCUGGAGCUUCGUACAAGCCACUUAAGUGAUUUUUUAACGAGGUAUUAUAAAGACCCAAAUAUGUUUUUACCGGCCAGCUUACCUUAAUUACUAAUAUACUAUUUGAAGCACUUGAAAGUUGAGCCUACAGAUCCAAAACAAGGCUUUCUUGAUUUUUGUUAUCCCCCACGACAAAGAGACAUUUCUUACGAAACUCGGACUUACAGCUCGGGCUUGCAUCUCUUGAAAAAGUGUUUCUGAACAUCGCUAGACGGGCUAAACUAGAAAGUGCAACCGCUGCAAGAACCAUGGUCACCCACGAUUUAGAAUCUGGCAUCUCACUUAAAAGGAAA